GCAGUCGCAGCCGCCCCGCAGCCGCCAGCGACCUCGAGCGGCGGCGACCGGUCGGCGGGCGACUCGGCUCCCCUGAUCCCCUCCGGUAUGGACGGCCAGGCUCCACACCCCGUCGCCGUCGCACCCAAAUCCCCGCCGCAGCCACCUCCGCGUCUGGAUAUGGAGGCGGAGGACGACCCCGUCGUCGUCCCCGACGCCGCCGAUGCCGCUUCGUCGGAGGCCUCCAAGGUCGGCGCCCAUGGUGUCGCGCCCCUGCUUUCUACUUCGUCCCUUCUUAAGAUGGAAGACGACCCGGUUGUCGUCCCCGACACCGUCGAACCCGCUUCUUCAGAGGCCUCCGAGGUUGGCGCCGGUGGUGUAGUGCUCCUGCAGCCGCCGUCGCUGUCUCUUGAGGCGGAGGAGGAUCCCCUCAUCGUGCUCGGCACUUCCGAGACCGCUUCUCUGGAGGCCACCAAUGUUGGCACCGGUGUUGUGGUGCCGUCGCCACCUCUUGAGGCGGGGGACGAUCCCCUUAUCCUCCCUGGUACCGACGCCUCUUUGGAGGCCUCCGACGUACUCACCACUGGUGUCGUGCUUACGGACGAGCUCCGCGACAAGAUCGUUAAGCAGGUGGAGUACUACUUCAGCGAUGAGAAUCUUCCCACGGAUGAGUUUAUGUUGAAAUUUGUGAUGAAGAACAAGGAGGGCCUUGGUAACGUUCCACUUGGAGUUAUUGCAUCAUUUAGAAAAAUGAAGAAACUUGUUCAGGACCACUCUGCAAUUGAAGCGGCCCUUAGGACAUCAUCCAAGCUGGUUGUGAGCUCUAACGGGAAAAGGGUCAGAAGGUUACAUCCCUUACCAUGCAAUGAGUUGAAAGACGUGAAGAGAAGGACUGUUGUGGUGGAAAAUCUACCCCUGGAUUUCUCCCUGGAGAGUUUACAGGAGAAAUUUGGAUCAGUUGGCAAAAUUAUGAAGAUAACCAUUCAUGAUCCACAUGCAGUUGGAGAAUCUGCAGCAUCAAAGAAGCCUGACUUCAUGUUGAGUAAUAAGGUACAUGCCAUUGUUGAGUAUGAAGCGGUGGAGGCAGCUGAGAAGGCUGUGGCCACCUUAAAUGAUGAGAGGAACUGGAGAACUGGGAUGAGAGUCAUACUUCUGGCUAAACGAAGUGUAGUGGGAUCAGGAAAGCAUAUCCAGUCUUCGAAAGAAAAUCAUGGAACAGUUUCGAGAAAGAACAACGAGGGCCAGUUUUCAAAAGAAGUACAGCAGUCGGCAUCGGAAAAAAAUGGUGGUGCUGAUUCAGGAGAGGUUGCUUCAGAUAAGGAGAAUGUGAACUGUGAUGUUAACCAUGAGGAAGUGCGCCAACACCAAAGGACAAAUGCUAGCGGUGGACGCAAAGGCAGAUACAGAAGCCAAGGGCAUGGCUCGUCCCCUACUAUUCCUGGUUCUGAUCCUGCAAACAAGCCUAUUUCUGGACCGAGAAUGCCGGAUGGAACAAGGGGCUUUACAAUGGGGCGUGGUAGAUCUCUCCCACUUCCGAAAGCCUAGAAGGCCCAGAAGACUGAGGAAUAGAACUUUAUACAAAUGGCUAGUCCUCCUCUCAUGCCACUUUAUAAGGAUUGUCUUUUCUGAAAUACAGUAACUGCCGCUUGAGUUGGAAAUUUCACGCGUGGCUGGUAUUUUACCACCGUACAAAGUAUGCAUGUUUGUGACACGCUGACACGUGGUCUGAGGACUGCCAAAGCUUUGCUGGCUGUCAUAGGCUUUGGCUUGGAAAUUAAGAUGCGUCCUAAUAUGUUUGUCUGUUAGGCUAUUUAUGUCUAUCUGGUUGUGCAUAUUUGCAUCGCAGAAAGGAGCGGAAAUGAUUUGCUGCCAAAGCUUUGCGCUCUGGUGCUGUAUUGUGCUGCUGAUGGGAUAAAUGUUGAGCGAACAGUGAUGAAUGGAGAUCGAGAUCACAUUCUGCA